rnacentral:antisense_RNA from 1 species
CUUGAUCGAUCCGAGCCACAGCGGCCGACCCGCCGGCCGGCCCUGUCCAUAGGUCGCCAAAAGCGCUUGGGCCUC